rnacentral:rRNA from 1 species
GACGAACGCUGGCGGCGUGCCUAAUACAUGCAAGUCGAGCGAAGUUUUUCUGGUGCUUGCACCGGAAAAACUUAGCGGCGAACGGGUGAGUAACACGUAAAGAACCUGCCUCAUAGACUGGGACAACUAUUGGAAACGAUAGCUAAUACCGGAUAACAGCAUUAACUGCAUGGUUGAUGUUUAAAAGUUGGUUUUGCUAACACUAUGAGAUGACUUUGCGGUGCAUUAGCUAGUUGGUGGGGUAAAGGCCUACCAAGGCGACGAUGCAUAGCCGACCUGAGAGGGUGAUCGGCCACACUGGGACUGAGACACGGCCCAGACUCCUACGGGAGGCAGCAGUAGGGAAUCUUCCGCAAUGGGCGAAAGCCUGACGGAGCAACGCCGCGUGAGUGAAGAAGGAUUUCGGUUCGUAAAGCUCUGUUGUUAGGGAAGAAUGAUUGUGUAGUAACUAUACACAGUAGAGACGGUACCUAACCAGAAAGCCACGGCUAACUACGUG